rnacentral:misc_RNA from 1 species
UUUCCGUAGGUGAACCUGCGGAAGGAUCAUUAUUGAAUAAACCUGAUGUGGUUGUAGCUGGCCCUUUCGGGAGCAUGUUCACACCCGUCGUCUUUAUCUUUCCACCUGUGCACCUUUUGUAGACCUGGAUGUAACACUUUCCGAGGCAACUCGGUCGGGAGGAAUGCUGUCAGCUUUCCUUGAAUGUCCAGGCCUAUGUUUUCAUAUACCCCAAAGAAUGUAACAGAAUGUAUUAUUGGGCCUUGUGCCUAUAAACUAUAUACAACUUUCAGCAACGGAUCUCUUGGCUCUC